rnacentral:rRNA from 1 species
AAGUCGUAACAAGGUUUCCGUAGGUGAACCUGCGGAAGGAUCAUUAUUGAAUAAACUUGGUGGGUUGUAGCUGGCUCUCCGGAGCAUGUGCACGCCUGUCAUCUUUAUCUAUCCACCUGUGCACUUUAUGUAGUCUUGUGUUGUGGAGGGUAACUCUUUGCUUGUGUAUACAAGUCAGAUGUGAGGUAUGCUGUGUGCGCGCGCAUGCAUGUGUGUGUGUUAUGGCUCUCCUCAAAUAUGCUCUCCCUGCUCAAGUCUAUGUGUUUUUAUACACACACUAUGUAGUAUGUCGCAGAAUGUAUCACAAUGGGCCUUAGUGCCUAUAAUAAACACAAUACAACUCUCAGCAACGGAUCUCUUGGCUCUCGCAUCGAUGAAGAACGCAGCGAAAUGCGAUAAGUAAUGUGAAUUGCAGAAUUCAGUGAAUCAUCGAAUCUUUGAACGCACCUUGCGCUCCUUGGUAUUCCUCGGAGUAUGCCUGUUUGAGUGUCAUUAAAUUCUCAACCCUUAUCUGGCUUAUGUGCUGGAUCUGUGGCUUGGAUAUGGGGGUUAUUUGCAGGCCCUACUUCUGAAGGGUCAGCUCCCCUGAAAUGCAUUAGCAGAACCAUUCACGAUCUGUCGCCGGUGUGAUAAUUAUCUACGCCAAAUGACGAACGUGAUAUUGACUGUUCAGCUUCUAAUGGUCCUUUCGGGGACAAUACAACUGAAUGAUUGACCUCAAAUCAGGUAGGACUACCCGCUGAACUUAA